GGAAGAGGUAAAUUUGAAGUGGUAGUCUGGGGCCAUAGUUUGAGGAAGUGCAAGUUUUGGGAACACCUUGAAAUGGACUUAACAAAUAUGUAUUCAGUACCGAAACAUACCUAGUACCCUUCCAGAUGCUCAGGGGACUUACAUUAAAAGAGCAGAACUUAAAAAAAAUGGGCAGAGAAACUCAAGACACAUUUUUCCAAAGACAUUUCAAUGACCGACAAAUUUUACAAGGUGAAUAGAAUAUAUUAAAAACAGAGGGAAUUGAGUAACUUGUCCCACAUUGGGAUUCAAACUCAAACUAUUGACUUGUGAACUCAAGCUCUCAGUCAAGGUGUCGGCAUACCUCCUCUGCAAACUCCAAGAUCGGCUCUUCAGACUCCAACAAAAACAGGACAGAUUAUAUCAACUAUCAGCUCCGUGUUAGACUAUCAGCAGCCUUCAGUGAUGCUGUGAGUCUCAGUAUUAGUUACUGUCUUAAACGAGGCUCCCAAGGAGUAGAGUUUGAAAAAGAAAAAGAGGCUCAUGCAGGUGAUUUAUUGAUGGAGUGCUCUUGGAAAAAAACCAACAACCACAAACCCACAUGAAGGUAAGAAGAGCAGAAAAGAGAAAAAAGCCAAGCAAAAUGUGGCUAAAAUCUACCCUCAGCCUGACCUCACAGGGAGCUCUGGAGCAUGAGGAAUAUCACAGAGCUGGUCUAUCUUGACACAAGGGCCCAGGCAUCAUCAGUCAUAUACUGACUCUUGUCUGCAAUAGUAGCAGGGGGGAGGGGCAUAAACUCAUAGGUGUCUCUAUGUAAAGUGAUUCCCAACAGACAAGGGCAUUUCUCCAGAGAAAAAUAUUUCUGUGAGCCACUUAGCAUCAAUAAUCACAACAGCUGGGAGAAAGGUGUCCUGUCAAACAAAUAAUGUGGAAAGGAUAACAACAGCUUCUGCUACAGGUAGAAGACAAGGUAGAAGGCUGCUUGACAGAGAAUAUCAUCAGUGUACUUUGUUUUCUGGUGUAACUACCAGUAACCUGCAAGAUGAAACUGGCUUCUUCUCCCAAUCUACUACUAAUGCUGUUUUUCAUUAAAUUCUU